rnacentral:rRNA from 1 species
AAAAUGACGGUUCUUUAUAAGUAAGCACCGGCAAACUACGUGCCAGCAGCCGCGGUGAUACGUAGGGUGCGAGCGUUGUCCGGAAUGACUGGGUGUAAAGGGUGUGUAGGUGGCUUAUUAAGUUAAAAGUGAAAGCCCGGGGCUCAACUCCGGAACUGCUUUUAAUACUGGUUGGCUUGAGUGUGGGAGAGGUAAGUGGAACUCCUAGUGUAGCGGUGGAAUGCGUAGAUAUUAGGAAGAACAUCAGAGGCGAAGGCGACUUACUGGAACAUUACUGACACUGAAACACGAAAGCGUGGGGAGCAAACAGGAUUAGAUACCCUGGUAGUCCACGCCGUAAACGAUGAGUACUAGAUGUUGGUGGUAUCGACUCCAUCAGUAUCGCAGCUAACGCAUUAAGUACUCCAACCUGAGUAGUACGGCCGCAAGGUUGAAACUCA